rnacentral:tRNA from 1 species
UGGCUCAGAUGGUAAAGAAUUUGCCUGUAAUGCAGGAGACCCAGGUUCAAUUCCUGG